AUUGAACGCUGGCGGCAGGCCUAACACAUGCAAGUCGAGCGGAGCGGCGGACGGGUGAGUAAUGCCUAGGAGUCUGCCUGGUAGUGGGGGAUACGGUCCGGAAACGGGCGCUAAUACCGCAUACUAUCAGAUUAGCCUAGGUCGGAUUAGCUAGUUGGUGGGUGAAAGGCCUACCCAGGCGAGGAUCCGUAACUGGUCUGAGAGGAUGAUAGGUCACACUGGAACUGGGACACGGUCCAGACUCCUACGGGAGGCAGCAGUGGGGAAUAUUGGACAAUGGGCGAAAGCCGGAUCCAGCCAUGCCGCGUGUGUGAAGAAGGUCUUCGGAUUGUAAAGCACUUUAAGUUGGGAGGCGUUACCAACAGAAUAAGCACCGGCUAACUUCGUGCCAGCAGCCGCGGUAAUAC
rnacentral:rRNA from 1 species